rnacentral:rRNA from 1 species
GAUGAACGCUGGCGGCGUGCUCAACACAUGCAAGUCGAACGAAGCACUUUAUUUGAUUUCCUUCGGGACUGAUUAUUUUGUGACUGAGUGGCGGACGGGUGAGUAACGCGUGGGUAACCUGCCUUGUACAGGGGGAUAACAGUUGGAAACGGCUGCUAAUACCGCAUAAGCGCACGGCAUCGCAUGAUGCAGUGUGAAAAACUCCGGUGGUAUAAGAUGGACCCGCGUUGGAUUAGCUAGUUGGUGAGGUAACGGCCCACCAAGGCGACGAUCCAUAGCCGAACUGAGAGGGUGACCGGCCACAUUGGGACUGAGACACGGCCCAAACUCCUACGGGAGGCAGCAGUGGGGAAUAUUGCACAAUGGGCGAAAGCCUGAUGCAGCGACGCCGCGUGAGCGAAGAAGUAUUUCGGUAUGUAAAGCUCUAUCAGCAGGGAAGAUAAUGACGGUACCUGACUAAGAAGCACCGGCUAAAUACGUG